CGCAAUGGGCGAAAGCCUGACAGAGCAAUACCGCGUGAGGGAAGAAGGCUUACUGAGUUGUAAACCUCUGUUACCUAAGGAGGAAGAUCUGACGUUACUUAGGAGACGAAGCAUCGGCUAACUCCGUGCCAGCAGCCGCGGUAAGACGGAGGAUGCAAGUGUUAUCCGGAAUUACUGGGCGUAAAGCGUCUGCAGGUGGUUUCUUAAGUCCACUGUUAAACCUUGAGGCUCAACCUCAAUUCAGCAUUGGAAACUGAGAAACUUGAGUAUAGUAGGGGUAGAGGGAAUUUCCAGUGGAGCGGUGAAAUGCGUAGAUAUUGGAAAGAACACCGAUGGCGAAGGCACUCUACUGGGCUAUUACUGACACUCAGAGACGAAAGCUA
rnacentral:rRNA from 1 species